rnacentral:rRNA from 1 species
AUACGUAGGUGGCAAGCGUUGUCCGGAAUUAUUGGGCGUAAAGCGCGCGCAGGCGGUCCUUUAAGUCUGAUGUGAAAGCCCACGGCUCAACCGUGGAGGGUCAUUGGAAACUGGAGGACUUGAGUGCAGAAGAGGAAAGUGGAAUUCCAAGUGUAGCGGUGAAAUGCGUAGAGAUUUGGAGGAACACCAGUGGCGAAGGCGACUUUCUGGUCUGUAACUGACGCUGAGGCGCGAGAGCGUGGGGAGCAAACAGGAUUAGAUCCCCUGGUAGUCCACGCCGUAAACGAUGAGUGCUAAGUGUUAGGGGGUUUCCGCCCCUUAGUGCUGCAGCUAACGCAUUAAGCACUCCGCCUGGGGAGUACGGUCGCAAGACUGAAACUCAAAGGAAUUGACGGGG